rnacentral:tRNA from 1 species
GGAACUAUAGCUCAGCGGGAGAGCGCUUGCUUGACGUGCAAGAUGUCGGGGGUUCAAAUCCCUCUAGUUCCACCA